AUAGCGAACAAGUACCGUGAGGGAAAGUUGAAAAGCACUCUGGAGAGAGAGUCAAAAGACCGUGAAACCGCUCAGAGUAUAAGCCCAUGGCUGCUUGGAAGGCAUAUCGCUAGCGGGGCAUCGGUCUCCCUUCACGGGGAGCUGGUGUUACCUUGCUUCUGUUGUGGCUCGUUAUGGUAGGGGGGUCAAGUCCACAUCCCGCCGUCGUGUGGGGAGUUCUCGGGCGCGUCGCGGCUUUGCAGUUGACCUCGGUUGGCUGUGGGGCUCUUCGUGCUUGGUUCUUCUUUAGACACGGACGUUCAUACUCAGUUGCAAGACGCGAUAACCAGCCCACCACGGCACGUUGUGAGGUCACCCUCAGGCUCGACUUUCGAUUGUGGUCCUUGACGCCGAGCAAGCACUGUGCGUGUCGCAGAUGUUCCUAACCGGGCAAACCUCGUUUGUCAGGAUCGUGGAACGACACGCGCUCAACAGUCAGGACCGGGCGAUGACAGAGUUCUGGUACGAUCCUCUUGCGACGAGCCGCCUUCUGGCCAAAUUUCCGAUGCUCAGGUCUCCCGCAUGUGCCGCGGGAGAUCGCUUUGACGGUCUGGAGCUUUCACAAGUCCUCUCAGUCGGGCGACGGAAAGAGUGGUGUAAAGUCCAAGCCCAUCGGUCACGUCUCGAAACACGGGCCAAGGAGUAUAGCAUGUGUGCAAGUCUAAGGGUCUCACAAAACCCGAAGGCGAAGUGAAAGCAAGUAAGCGGCGGGUGAUCUA
rnacentral:rRNA from 2 species